rnacentral:lncRNA from 1 species
GCUUCAGCAGUGAUUCAUAAAGUCACAUCGUAAUGGCCUGCCCCAUAAUGGCUUGCUUUUUUGCCCCGUUUUCUGAUCUCACCCCAGCAUUCUGCAGAACCUGAGAGCACUCGUCGCCAUGAAUGAAAGUCUGAAAAGCCAGGAACAGGAGUUUAAAGCGCACUGCCGGGAGGAGAUGGCUCGGCUCCAACAGGAAAUUGAGAUCCUGAAAGCCGAGAGAGCGCCAGGCGAGAAGACUAUCUCCAGCGGAGAGCCGCAGGGUGCCCUGACCUCCACCAUGAC